rnacentral:lncRNA from 1 species
AAUUGGGCGCCUAUUUAAACUAAGACUGAAAAUAUUCUUUCAUUAUACAGGUGGGCGCCUAUUAAAACAAAGACUGAAAAUAUUUCUCUCAUUAUACAGGUGGGCGCCUAUUUAAACUAAGACUGAAAAUAUUCCUCUCGUUAUACAUGUGGGCGCCUAUUUAAACUAAGACUGAAAAGUAUUCCUAUCGCUAUACAGGUGGGCGCCUACUUAAACUAAGACUGAAAAGUAUUCCACUCGUUAUACAGGUAGGCGUCUAUUUAAACUAAGACAUGAAAAUAUUCCUUUCAUUAUUACAGGUGGGCGCCUAUUUAAACUAAGACUGUAAAUAUUCCUCUCCUUAUACAGGUGGGCGCCUA